rnacentral:rRNA from 1 species
AACGAACGCUGGCGGCAGGCCUAACACAUGCAAGUCGAGCGCGCCCUUCGGGGUGAGCGGCGGACGGGUGAGUAACGCGUGGGAACGUGCCCUUUUCUACGGAAUAGCCUCGGGAAACUGAGAGUAAUACCGUAUACGCCCUUUGGGGGAAAGAUUUAUCGGAAAAGGAUCGGCCCGCGUUGGAUUAGGUAGUUGGUGGGGUAAUGGCCUACCAAGCCGACGAUCCAUAGCUGGUUUGAGAGGAUGAUCAGCCACACUGGGACUGAGACACGGCCCAGACUCCUACGGGAGGCAGCAGUGGGGAAUCUUAGACAAUGGGGGCAACCCUGAUCUAGCCAUGCCGCGUGAGUGAUGAAGGCCUUAGGGUUGUAAAGCUCUUUCAGCUGGGAAGAUAAUGACGGUACCAGCAGAAGAAGCCCCGGCUAACCCCGUG